AGCACUAGGGCUUAUUUGGGUUGGGGGAGGGGUCUUAUUUUUUUUCUACAUAUGGGAAGCCCACUUCUGCUUGCUCAUGGAGAAGCCAGGGUGUGUAGAGCUGCCUCAUGUGCUCCGCAAUGGCUUACCUCAGAGCCCCCACAGCCAGGCCAUCCAUGCCUCGCCUCAUGACCAAGGUACUCACACAUUGCUCAGCCUCCUGCUCCGUUGCGGCUGUAAGCAAGCGGAAGUGCUGGGCCGGUGGCCAUGUGGACUCCUGCUACACAUGGUUGGUGGUGCUGCCGUUGCGAGGCAGGUAUUGGGGCAUGGAGCCCUGAGGUAAGCCAGUGCGGGGCACGUGGGCAGCUCCCACCUUGCCUCAUGGCUGUGAAACCAUGAGCAACCAGAUGUAAUGGGUGUGUGGCCAGCUGUGCAGGCUCUUAAGUAGGACUUAUUGUGUGGGUAGGACUUAUAUUAGGUGCACAUGUAAAUAUGCUAGGUCUUAUUUUUGGGAUAGGUCUUAUUUUCAGGGAAACUUUCUCAAGUCACUGAAGGUCCAAAAAAUAGAUGUUCAGUCCAGACAAAAGACAUAGCGUUCACCUGGAAGAUCUAAUUCAUAAGAGAUGCUUCUGUAUCCAUCUUUGACAUUACAAGCAUAAUUAUCCUCUGUAGCACAAAUGGCAUGUGGCACCUUCAUCAGUUCAGGCUAGUAUAUCAGUUAUGACUGAGAUAGCCUCACUACAGUAAUUUAUGUCCUGAUUCUACUAGGAUGUUCAAUGUUUCCUUCCUGGAAACAAAUGUUUUAAAUAAAUAAUAAAGUAAUUCAGUCAGGAUGUACAAUCUCCAGACCUGCAGCCCAAAAUGUUCCACUAUUAUUUCUUAUUUCACAUGAGGCAGAGCAAUUCUUGGGUAUUUAGCAUAAUCGACUGCCCUUUGGACUCCAGCACUCAUCAUUUCCAAAAGUUCCAACUUUUGUAAAAGGAAUUUUGCUUGUGUAUGAAGAGAUGUAAAUGCAUAGAAUGUAAACAAAUGUAACAUUCAGAAGCCACUGCCUUCAUCCAGAAUGAAACUGCAAGCUUACGUUGAUGAAUACAGAGAAAAUAUAAAAGUAACUAGAUUAUACAGUUCCAUCUGAACUUAACUAGACACAUUUCAUUGGCACAAUUGCCAGAACUCGUAAUGCAAGAUUAGGACUCCCAACAAGAAGAUACUUACAGAUCCUUGGCAUUUAUGAACAUUUAUUAGCGUAGGUCCAAGAUGUGCAUUCAUUCAUUUCGUUGUAGGAAUCACAGUGAACAUCUGAGACCCAACUGUGACAUAAUGUUUUUUAUUGUUUUCAAUAUAACAAGUCCAGAAGUUUCUUUUAAGAGGGAGGAGAAGCACCCCAAAUUAAU